rnacentral:rRNA from 1 species
CCUACGGGUGGCAGCAGUAGGGAAUAUUGCUCAAUGGGGGAAACCCUGAAGCAGCAACGCCGCGUGGAGGAUGAAGGCUUUCGGAUUGUAAACUCCUUUUGGUAGAGAAGAUGAUGGCGGUAUCUAUCGAAUAAGCACUGGCUAACUCCGUGCCAGCAGCCGCCGUAAUACGGAGGGUGCAAGCGUUACUCGGAAUCACUGGGCGUAAAGGGCGCGUAGGCGGGAUAGCAAGUCAGAUGUGAAAUCCUCUGGCUUAACCAUAGAACUGCAUUUGAUACUGGUAUUCUAGAGUAUGGGAGAGGUAGGUGGAAUUCUUGGUGUAGGGGUGAAAUGCGUAGAGAUCAAGAGGAAUACUGAUUGCGAAGGCGGCCUGCUAGAACAUAACUGACGCUGAUGCGCGAAAGCGUGGGGAGCAAACAGGAUUAGAUACCCUGGUAGUC